UGGGUAACCUGCCUCAAAGAGGGGAAUAGCCUCCCGAAAGGGAGAUUAAUACCGCAUAAUAUGUUUAAGUCGCAUGACUUUAACAUCAAAGGAUUUUCUUUUAAGAAAUUCCACUUUGAGAUGGACCCGCGGCGCAUUAGCUAGUUGGUGAGGUAACGGCUCACCAAGGCAACGAUGCGUAGCCGACCUGAGAGGGUGAUCGGCCACAUUGGAACUGAGACACGGUCCAGACCUCCGUAGGGACG
rnacentral:rRNA from 1 species